rnacentral:rRNA from 1 species
GAUGAACGCUGGCGGCGUGCCUAAUACAUGCAAGUCGAGCGAACGGACGAGAAUCUUGCUGCUCUGAUGUUAGCGGCGGGCGGGUGAGUAACACGUGUAUAACCUACCUAUAAUAGUGGGAUAACUUCGGGAAACGGGAGCUAAGACGGUAUGAGAUUUUGAACCGCAUUGGGCAAAAGUAAAAUACGGUCGUGGGGUCACGUAUAGAUGGAUCCGCGCUGAUUGAGCUAGUUGGUAAGGUAACGGGUUACCAAGGCAACGAUGCAUAGCCGACCUGAGAGGCUGAGAGGCCACCCUGGAAGUGAGACAGCCUCCAGACUACUACGGGAGGCCGCAGUAGGGAAUGUUACGCAAUGGGGGAAAGCAUGACGCAGAGACGCGGAGUGAGUGAUGACGGUCUUCCGCUCGUAAAACUCUGCUACUAGGGAAAAACAUAUGUGUAAGUAAAUGUGCACAUCUUGACGGUAACUAAUAAGAAAGCACCGGCUAACUACGUG